rnacentral:lncRNA from 1 species
CAAUUACAAUGUGACCUAACAAAAUUAAAUUUCCUAGAAGAAGUGUUAUAAGCUUAGCAAUGACUCAAAUUUCAGAAUGAGUCAUGAAUCAGAGAGAAGAAUGAAUUGCAAGAAGUAGAGACUGAGAAUGGGAAAACGUCAUUGAGGAUGACACAUUGAAACAGAGCGGCGACGAAGAGGAAGAGGAGUAACUCAAAAGGGUUCACUCAACGGUGAAGAGGAAGAUGCAACGCAAUUUCUGGUGCGCUAGAUGGACAGAGGAAGCGGCGGCAGGCGGCGAUGAAAGGAAUACGGAGUUCUGUAAUCAAUGUGGAA